rnacentral:lncRNA from 1 species
CUGGCAUUAUUGCCAAUUAUAGAUACCAUUUGUGCUCUAUGAGAUAUUUUCAUACCCCAAUAAUUAGGCAAGCAAUUUUCACUUUAAAAUAAUUAGAACAAAACCACAUUUUGUCGCACUCUUAUGCAACUAUAAUUCUGUAUAAGUCGUCUCAUUUAAUUUCACAUAAUUAAUUGAGACUAUCAUAAUUAACCAAUGUUCGUAUAAUUUUCAAACCAAAAUCCAUAGACAUAUACCGAAUUUACAACUUCAUACUAUAUAUGUCACUUAUCGGAUUGAUGCAUACUGUAUAUGUAUCUUUACCGUAUAUGCAACUUACCGGAUAUGGAAGCUUGCCAACUUACCGUAUUUGACAGUCUACCGUAUAUGACAGCUUACCGUAUUUGGCAGCUUACGUACUUAGUGUAUUUAGCAGCGUACUGUAUAUGGGAGCCUACUGUAUUUGUCAGCUAUGAAAUGAACAGACAUAAUUUUCAAUACUCACGGAACAUCAAGAGACUAUUAUCCACAUUACAAAUCUAGAUUUGAAUGUUUUACAGUAGCAUUAGAAAGUUAGGCAACAUCCUAAUGCAAAAGUGGCAUCGUGAUACAUACCCACAUAUAAGACAUAUUUUAAUUAUCUUACUCAUAAAUCACUAAUUAUUUGAAUCUCUCAUCAGUGGACCUCCUUUGUAAAUUAUAUAUAUUAAGCAAUAAUCAUCACAUGCAUAAGGAUAAACUAAACAUGGAAAGAUGAAGGAAACUGAAGUCGGAUUUGAACAGUCAUUAUGGUCAACUUAAAUGUUCUCAUUUCACUUUUGAAACUUCCACCAAUUAACCGAAAAGAAAAUUGAAUUCUUUAUUAUGAAUUGACAUGAUCAAUAUCAAUAAAUAUCACUUUGGUAAUUUCCAAUAGCAAAUUCAUUAGAAAUGGAUUUAAAGCAGAAACAUUUGUUAUGGAUUUUCAGUUUUCUUCUUCAUUUCACGCACAGGUUUAUUGCCUUUUGAACAACAUAUAUCCAACAUUUUCUCAACCCAAUUUCAAAUCUAAAUUAUUUUGCAUGCAAUUAUUCCAACUAUGCAAAGACUUAUGUAAAUAUACGAUUGGCACAUGGAGUGUAAUUAGGAACAGACGGCAGCCAUGCAUUUUAUAAUUUAUUUACAUCUUUCCAUAGACUUCCAAUUCAAUAAUUUACUUUCCAUCAUAUUAUAAAUAAAUGGAUGGCAUAAUGCAAUAGUCAGUAGUUACAACAUGAUUAAGUUUACAACUUAAUGAUUUUUUCGGAACUCAAUAGGUAUCGGUUCACAUGCGAAAUUAGAAUUGGAGGAGACAACCCAUAAGAUACAUUAUAAUAAACUGUUUUCAUCCCAAAAAAAAUUCAUUUAUUUGAGUACGUAACUUAUCAAAUUCCCGAACGUAAAACAAAAGAAUGUGCACUCAGAGACUUAUGGACAGAAUAUUUAGUUUUGCACAAGGCCCAAUCAAAAUUCCUCAUUCACAAAAUACUCAUUGAGUUAAAGGUCUUAGCACAUUGUUCAGAUAUAUAAUCGACCAGCCGGUCUAGAUUACAAUAGUUUAAAAUGAUGUCGUGCACAGUGUUAGUCGAACAUGCAUAAAUUCCAAUACGUGAUACGAAUAUAUCUAUCUAAAUUUCUAACAGAAUAUUUUAUGCACAACAACACAAAAUUCAUUUUAAGAUUGUUGAAAAAUUACAUCGAUAAUUGUGUAUAUUAUUUCACAAUAAACAUAUCGUUUAUUUGCAUGAAAUCGAAACGUAUUCCAACUUACUGAAAUUGGAUUUAAUAAGGCAAGAUGAAAAUUUACCGAUUUUGAAGAAUAUGAAUGUGGAACCUUCUCUUCCGAUUCUUGAAAGAUUGAACCAAUUCCGAAGAAUAUGAAUCUUUCGAUUUUUGAACGAUUAAACCUUACAAUAUAAAUAUAUAAAUUAGAUUAAUCAUUUUCUGAAAUCAAAUCAUAAUAAAAGGAAAUCAGAAAAUCAAGAUGAAGGUGCAAGUGAUGAAUUUUUGGUCGAGGUAAGUGUUGGACACUUUGUCCUUAAGAUAAAUUUGCCCCGCAUCGGUGCUAACGAUUUUUUCGCAAUCAUCUCCCAAGAUACAACGACCACGUCGAGCCAUAGGAGCACUCCAAAUGAUUUCGACCAGGGGACUCGAACGGAAUUCCCUCUCUACCAUGACCAUGACUUUGAUGCAAAAUCAAAGUGUAAAUCGGAAUCGAAUGAUAUGGUAUCUAUGACUUUUUU